rnacentral:lncRNA from 1 species
UAAUACAACAAUUAUCAAAAUUAAGUCACAAGCAAAUUUGUAGACCUAAUUUUCACAAGACAAAGAAAUUGCAUAGAUCGCAGAAACAUUUUCCGUAGUUCACAGCCGUGAGGAGGCUACUACGGCUUUAUUAGUCAAUCCCAACAUGCCACAUAGCUCACAGCCGUGAGGAAGCUACUACGACUUUAUUAGUCAAUCCCAACAUGCCACAUAGCUCGGGAUAUAGUGCUUUUCGUAUUUCUGCGUAAAUCUCACCAUUCCACUUCCUCUUGACCAACUCCCCUCCCAGGCGCACCGCAGCCUCCAGCACUGCUUGCGCACUAUCAUAUGCCGAGUCGAUAAUUCCC